rnacentral:rRNA from 1 species
UGAGGAAUAUUGGUCAAUGGGCGCAGGCCUGAACCAGCCAAGUCGCGUGAGGGAGGACGGUCCUACGGAUUGUAAACUUCUUUUAUCAGGGACGAAGAAAGUGACGGUACCUGAUGAAUAAGCCACGGCUAACUACGUGCCAGCAGCCGCGGUAAUACGUAGGUGGCAAGCGUUAUCCGGAUUUACUGGGUGUAAAGGGCGCGUAGGCGGGGAUGCAAGUCAGAUGUGAAAUCUAUGGGCUUAACCCAUAAACUGCAUUUGAAACUGUAUCUCUUGAGUGUCGGAGAGGUAGACGGAAUUCCUAGUGUAGCGGUGAAAUGCGUAGAUAUUAGGAGGAACACCAGUGGCGAAGGCGGUCUACUGGACGAUAACUGACGCUGAGGCGCGAAAGCGUGGGGAGCAAACAGGAUUAGAUACCCUGGUAGU